AUCAAUGGCCAUACCAGUCUGAAAAUGCCUGAUCUCGUCAGAUCUCAGAAGCUAUCCAGACUUGGGCGGGAGACCAACUAGGAACCUCAGGUGCCAUAAGUU